rnacentral:rRNA from 1 species
UACAGAGGUCUCAAGCGUUGUUCGGAUUCAUUGGGCGUAAAGGGGUGCGUAGGUGGCGAGGCAAGUCUGGUGUGAAAUCCCGGGGCUCAACCCCGGAACUGCACUGGAUACUGCUUUGCUAGAGUACUGGAGAGGAGAUUGGAAUUUACGGUGUAGCAGUGAAAUGCGUAGAUAUCGUAAGGAAGACCAGUGGCGAAGGCGAAUCUCUGGACAGUUACUGACACUGAGGCACGAAGGCCAGGGGAGCAAACGGG